rnacentral:rRNA from 1 species
UACGGGGGGUGCGAGCGUUGUCCGGAAUUAUUGGGCGUAAAGAGCUCGUAGGCGGUUUGUCGCGUCUGCCGUGAAAGUCCGGGGCUCAACUCCGGAUCUGCGGUGGGUACGGGCAGACUAGAGUGAUGUAGGGGAGACUGGAAUUCCUGGUGUAGCGGUGAAAUGCGCAGAUAUCAGGAGGAACACCGAUGGCGAAGGCAGGUCUCUGGGCAUUAACUGACGCUGAGGAGCGAAAGCAUGGGGAGCGAACAGG